AUGCCCACAGAGAGCGUGCUGGUGGUGGGCACAGCACUGAGCACCGCCACACACUGCACCGCACACAUUGCCAGAGCGUGCUGUGUGUGUGCUAUCUGGGCAUUGCUCCACACCCGGCCUGCUGAGCGUGCUGAAGUGUGCUGCAUGGGUGCCCUGUUCGGGGUACACAGCCAGCACGCCCCCUGCCUGUGCUACGAGCAAGCUGCCUACAUGUGCACUGCACCGAGCACACUCCGGCUGCACCACCGCACACAGCGUGAGCACGCUGCUGGCGCACGCUGCGCUGCACUGAGCUCACUGCCUGUGCAUGGCCCUGUGGCUGCUGCCAGCAUGCUGGCAGCAUCCACGGCCUCAGGUGCACUGUGUGUGUGCAUGCAUCAGAAUGUGGCCCAGGAACCCUCUGCACUGCAAGUACAGGGCUUGUGCAAACCAUGCUGGACACACCACCAGUGUGCUGCCUCCUGUGCACACUGCGCUGUGCACACUGAGCACAGCCCAGGCCUGCGUGCUGCAUGCACGCACCAGGAGGGUGCUGACAGCCAGCACUGCCUGCACACUCUGCCCUGGGCAUUGCCAGUGCACAGGUUCCCCAGUGAGGGAACCCACUGCCCCCGGCCCCCAUGCACAUGUCAAUUACACACUGCCCUCUGGCCCCUCCAUUUCCCUGUGCCCCUGCCCCCAGCUCCUGUGCCCAGGGCACCCCCCCACAGCCCCUGUCUGGAACCUGUAGCUCCCUGCCCCAGCAUCCAUGGGUGCCCCUGCACUCCCUGCCCCACCUGCAUGGCCUGGAGGGGGGAGGGGUGUCACCCUGCUGGAGCAUGGGGACCCGGCCCCAGGGCAGGGCAGUGCCCCAAGCCUCAGCUCUGGCAUCUGCGUAUGGCGCGAGUGACACCUGCCAGGCAGGGGCCAGGACCCCUCUGGCCACCCCGGUGUCCCCCGCCUGCCCAGCCCCCAGACCUAGCUCCGUUCCCUCUUGCAGGGGAGGGUGCUGGGGGUUCCCACCCUGGGGGGGCAUCCGCAGAGAGGCAUGGCCGAGGGGAGCCGGGGGCGUCGGGCACUAGGGCUGGGAAGCAUCGCCGGGCCCGGUGUCCCCCCCGCAGCCGCUGUCACCCGCGUGGCUUUCGGGGCCCAGGCCAGGGUCCGGGGUGGCUGCGUGGGGCGGGCGCCCCGGCGGGGCUGGGGGACGCGGCCGGGAGGCUCCGGGGCUGCCCCAGGCGCUGCCACCGCCGCUCCCCGGAGGCCCCAGGGCGGUGGCCCCGGGCACCCCCGCGCUGCGCUCCGGCAUCCGGGCGGCUCCGGGCCCGCUGGGCCGCGCGGGGCGCUGAGCUCGGCCCCGGGCGAGAUGGGCACUGCCGUGGGGUGGGAUGGGGGCACGGGGACGGGAUGCGAUGGGGUGGGAUGCCCCGGGGGGACGGGAUGCGGAUAGGGACGGGGCUGUCCUGGAAGGGGGCUGGAGAUGCGAUGGGAUGA
rnacentral:lncRNA from 1 species